UUUACGCGCCUGAAGCGUUGCCAAUUGAGAACUCCACUGGAAACGGUUCGGACCGCGAUAGAUAAACGACAAACUCCCAGUUUACUACUAAUUUAGCGAUAAAAGGGAGUUGCAAGGAAUAUGUUCGUGACGAUUGAAUAGCAUAAAUCGUGGCUGCUGAUACUUGCAUACACUG